rnacentral:tRNA from 1 species
CGGGUAGAGCGCCGGGCUGUUAACCCGGUGGUCGGAGGUUCAAAUCCUCCCCCCGG